rnacentral:rRNA from 1 species
ACGAACGCUGGCGGCGUGCUUAACACAUGCAAGUCGAACGGUGAAGCGCCUUCCUUUUUGGUGGGUGUGGAUGAGUGGCGAACGGGUGAGUAACACGUGAGUAACCUGCCCCCUUCUUCUGGAUAACCGCAUGAAAGUGUGGCUAAUACGGGAUAUUCUGGGUCUGUCGCAUGAUGGGUCUGGGAAAGAUAUUGUUUCGGUGGGGGAUGGGCUCGCGGCCUAUCAGCUUGUUGGUGGGGUGAUGGCCUACCAAGGCGGUGACGGGUAGCCGGCCUGAGAGGGUGGCCGGUCACCCUGGGACUGAGACCCGGCCCAGACUCCUACGGGAGGCAGCAGUGGGGAAUAUUGCACAAUGGGCGCAAGCCUGAUGCAGCGACGCCGCGUGAGGGAUGGAGGCCUUCGGGUUGUGAACCUCUUUCGCCAGUGAAGCAGGCCUGCCUCGUUUGUGGGUGGGUUGACGGUAGCUGGAUAAGAAGCGCCGGCUAACUACGUG